AGUGAACGCUGGCGGUAGGCCUAACACAUGCCAGUCGUACGGCAGCACAGUAAGAGCUUGCUCUUACGGGUGGCGAGUGGCGGACGGGUGAGGAAUACAUCGGAAUCUACUUUUUCGUGGGGGAUAACGUAGGGAAACUUACGCUAAUACCGCAUACGACCUACGGGUGAAAGCAGGGGAUCUUCGGACCUUGCGCGAUUGAAUGAGCCGAUGUCGGAUUAGCUAGUUGGCGGGGUAAAGGCCCACCAAGGCGACGAUCCGUAGCUGGUCUGAGAGGAUGAUCAGCCACACUGGAACUGAGACACGGUCCAGACUCCUACGGGAGGCAGCAGUGGGGAAUAUUGGACAAUGGGCGCAAGCCUGAUCCAGCCAUACCGCGUGGGUGAAGAAGGCCUUCGGGUUGUAAAGCCCUUUUGUUGGGAAAGAAAAGCAGCAGGUUAAUACCCCGCUGUUCUGACGGUACCCAAAGAAUAAGCACCGGCUAACUUCGUG
rnacentral:rRNA from 1 species